GGGGGCGUCACGGUUUCGACGGGAACGUGACCCCGAAAGGAGCAGGCCGAGUGUGCCUACCGGCUCGAAAAUUCGGUGGGAAAGUCACAACUGCCAACGAUAACUUGGCACUGGCUGCCUAACUUCUAGGCAACCCGCUCUUCCGGAGCCCCGCCCGUGGGAACUGGAAAGGGCGUCAUAAAAGCGGGCUGGCCGCACAUCCUCGGUCCGGGGGUGGAAGGCGAGAUCAAACGGACUAGCCCUCGCCGGUUUUGUCCGGCCUUCACGGCGGGGGCGAAACACCAGGUCGGACUAAGCCUGUAGGGCCUCUCGCCGGCGCGCUUCCGGACGCGGGUUCGACUCCCGCCGCCUCCACCA
rnacentral:tmRNA from 1 species